AUACUACUCCCUCCGUUUAGAAAUACUUGUCCUAGAAAUAAUUGUAUCUAGAUUUGUUUUAGUUCUAGAUACAAUCAUUUCUAAGACAAGUAUUUCCGAACAGAGGGAAUAUUUC
rnacentral:pre_miRNA from 1 species